UACGAAGGGGGCUAGCGUUGCUCGGAAUUACUGGACGUAAAGCGCACGUAGGCGGAUCUUUAAGUCAGGGGUGAAAUCCUGGAGCUCAACUCCAGAACUGCCUUUGAUACUGAGGACCUUGAGUUCGGGAGAGGUGAGUGGAACUGCGAGUGUAGAGGUGAAAUUCGUAGAUAUUCGCAAGAACACCAGUGGCGAAGGCGGCUCACUGGCCCGAUACUGACGCUGAGGUGCGAAAGCGUGGGGAGCAAACAGGG
rnacentral:rRNA from 1 species